UAACUUUCUAGCCACACCACAUGCACGCCCAUGCCACACAGGGGGCACAAGAGUGGCCAUGAAAAUAACUACCACGGGUGUGGCUUUUGCUCGCCACAAUUCUGGUUCCAUUUUUUCUAAGCACGGCCGGGCAAUGCUUUGUGAACUCCACAACCUUGCCUUCUCUUCAAAUCAUAACCUUUUUCUUUUGCUUUAUUGCACGAGUUUUUAUUCUCUUUUCCAUUUUUUUCCACAUAUGACCUUCCUAUUGCAUAUUUACCACACAACACGUGGAUUUUGUAAAAAAAAUGCAAUAUUUAGACACAAAAUUGUAUAAAAAUAUAGUAACAAAUUUACAAUUUAGACACGCAUCACCGAUCUUAAGUUAAACUAGUUUUUUUUUUUUUUUAAAUAAUCGCGUUAAAACUUAAAACUAGUUACUUCUCCUUUUAUCCAAUUGUGUUCUUUUACCCAUUUGUCAACUAGCAGGCCCACAUUGAGUUUAGUUUUUUUUCUUAGGCCUAGCAAGAAACUUGCACAUUGUAUUUGGGCUUGGCCCAUCCAUUUCAAAAACUAUAGCCAUUAGUUGAGGAUGGAUCCAUGGAUAGAUAGCCCAUAGAUCAUAAGACGAGGGCAUUUUGGUAAUAAAAAAGAAAUAACACUGAGUGAACUGCACCGUCACUCCUCACACUCACACUCACACCACACCAGAAGAAUGACACUAGGACAACAAUACACCAUCUCCAUCGAACCCGCCACUUCUCUCUCUAGCUUCUCUCUCUCUCCUCCUGGUCUUCCGUGAUGGCCGAAGGAAACGGUCCCAUGGAGAUUGCAAACAAGCUAGACACUGAAGAAACCAUCCCCUCGGCCGAACAACACUACCACUCACAAUGGCCAAUCCCGACACCACUCACCGCCAACAACAACAACAACAACAACGCAACCGCCGCUCCAAACCCCGACCCAAGCCACGAGCCAGGGUCCCCCUCACUCAGCUCCUCAAAGUCGCAUCAGUCGCCGGCGGCAUUCAGUUCGGCUGGGCCCUACAGCUCUCCCUCCUCACACCCUACGUGCAGCAGCUCGGGAUCCCGCACGCGUGGGCCAGCAUCAUAUGGCUCUGCGGCCCGCUCUCUGGGCUCUUCGUUCAGCCCUUGGUUGGCCACAUGAGUGACCGCUGCACCAACCGCUUCGGCCGCCGGAGACCGUUUAUUGUGUCCGGAGCUUUGUUUAUCAUUGUCUCUGUUCUUAUUAUUGGUCACGCCGCUGACUUGGGGUGGAGGUUUGGUGAUACUAAGACUCAUCGGCCGGCCGCCGUGGCGUUUUUCGUGUUCGGGUUUUGGAUUUUGGAUGUGGCUAACAAUGUCACUCAAGGUCCUUGUAGAGCUUUGCUUGGUGAUCUCACUGGCAAGGAUGACCGAAGGACACGUGUGGCGAAUGCCUAUUUCUCCCUAUUUAUGGCGAUUGGUAAUAUUCUUGGAUAUGCAACUGGAUCAUACAGUGGUUGGUACAAGGUCUUUCCUUUCACGCUUACCCCUGCAUGCAAUGUUAGUUGUGCGAAUCUCAAGUCUGCUUUCUUUCUCGACAUUAUUUUCAUUGUGAUCACCACCUAUAUCAGCACCGUAUCAGCCCAUGAAGUUCCUUUAAAUUCAAGUGGUGCACACCCUGUUGAAGAAGGGGCAGGAGAGUCAGGUAGUGCAGAAGAAGCUUUCCUGUGGGAGAUGUUUGGGACAUUCAAAUAUUUUUCAAAACCUAUAUGGAUAAUAUUGUCUGUUACUGCUCUAACAUGGAUUGGGUGGUUUCCAUUUCUUCUAUUUGAUACUGAUUGGAUGGGCCGGGAGAUUUAUGGUGGUGAGCCAAAUGAAGGCCCUAAUUAUGAUAUUGGAGUUAGAAUGGGGGCACUUGGUUUAGUGCUUAAUUCAGUUGUUCUUGGAAUAACAUCGCUACUCAUGGAGAGGCUAUGCAGGAACCGGGGGGCUGGGUUUGUGUGGGGAGUCUCAAAUAUCCUAAUGGCUGUCUGCUUUGUUGCAAUGCUUGUAGUAACCUAUGUGGCAAACUAUAUUGGCUAUGUAGGCAAACAUUUACCACCAACUAGCAUCGUGAUAGCUUCAUUGAUGAUCUUUACCAUUCUUGGGUUUCCCCUGGCAAUCACUUACAGUGUUCCUUAUGCCUUAAUAUCCACGCAUAUUCAGCCAUUGGGGCUUGGCCAAGGAUUGUCAAUGGGAAUCCUAAAUCUUGCAAUAGUGUUCCCACAGAUGGUGGUGUCUUUGGGAAGUGGACCAUGGGAUCAGCUAUUUGGUGGAGGAAACUCUCCAGCCUUUGCUGUGGCAGCUGUUGCAGCCCUCAUCAGUGGACUCAUAGCUGUCUUGGCCAUUCCUCGAUCUGGUGGUCAAAGGCCUAGAAGCCAAGUAUGAGGUAUCAUGUUCUUUCUGCUUUUGGCACAGAUUUCAUUCGAAGAGAGAUUAAGAAAAUGAACAGGUUCCAAAAUUACUCAUGGGCAACAUCCUUUCCAACCACGGUGAGUUGCUGCUGAAUUGGAAUUAUUCCACAUAAAAUGUUCUUUUAUUUUGAGGCAAUGCUGAUUAUAAUGCGUCUGUGCUUCAAGCAUGAUGAAUAUCUUUCCAAAAAAAAGUAUGAUGUAUUAAAAUCUUAAAAAAAUGUUUCAUUUGUUUGUAGUACUAGUAUUAGUUUGAUGGAUGUUCUUAGUGGCCAACAUUGAAUAUGUUAAUUGUGCUGGUGGAAAGCUUGAUUGAGACACGGUUUUAGUGCUCCUGGGUAUAACAUUUUUCUUUAAACAUAAUUCUUGAACGACGGGUUUGAUAUAAUGGUCAUUUAAUUUAUUUUGCUUCUUUUGAACCAUGGAAUAAAUUCCAGUAUU